rnacentral:lncRNA from 1 species
AAGAAGAAGAAGUAUGGGCCCCAGCAUGACUAGAGGUGCUUUAUUUGUGCAGAACUCAGAAAUGGAAUUUCUGAUGGAGACAGUAGUGAACAGAGAACAGCUUAUUGAAUUUGUGUGCAUGCAGCACAGAGCUGAAGGAGACUGCCAGAGAAGGGAGGUUCUGAAUUUAUUGUGA